CCCAUUGUUAUUUCUUUCUUCAUACAUUAAGAAAUAGUCCUGAAGUAGCACGGUAACGUAUGGUAAUCCUUCCAGUAGAAGAUUUCCUGUGUGGCUUUGUACAAGAUCUAUACCUCAGCUUUCCCCUGGAAAUGGAGAUCAGGCUGUCAGGCUCAAUGCAGUGGCAAGCUGCAGUGGAAUAGCUACACUUGGUCUUAAAGGUUGUACAAGCUCCAGUCUUGUUUACAUCAUAGUGUAGUUUGCCUCUACAGCUACAGCCAAGUGAAGAUGAAGAUUUUAAUAGCAAUAAGGUGCUCCAGCUGCAGCCAGUUUAUUACAUGGGGUAAAUCACCCUACCUGGAAGAGAUUAUUUCUGUUACAAUCAUUUCCACUGAGAACACUGCGUGCAGUGCAUGUCCAAGGCAGGUGUGGAGGGCACUGGUUUGACCAGGAAGGUGCUCAGCACCAUGCAACCAGUCAGCAAGAGCCUGAGGGAGCAGAGCCCACAUCUUCUGAGUUCAUCUCAGCAAUUAAUAUUGGACACUUCUCUUGUACUCAACCAUCCUCUGCGUAUCUUCUGAGAAGGUCUUGCUGAAGACUUCAGGGGCACGACUGAAAAACAUUUGCUUUUAUGACUAGGUACAUGGCCUUGUGCUGCAGUAAUAUAAUUGCAAAGGGAAAGGCUUGGAAGAGGAAAGAAAUCUCAUCCUUAGACAAAGGUGGCCAAAGCACGUACAAUGCUCUGCCACACAGACCAAAGCUCUUCUGUGCCCAGCUGUGCUGGUGAGGAAGUCUGUGCACAGUGGCUUCCUAGCACAAACGCUGCCUAAAAUGACACUGUGCAUGUCCUUGCUAUACACAAAUGGUUUGCCCAAGCUGCGUGUUUCUGCUCCAUUUCUUAAGUUUCAGCCUGUCUGGCAGAUUAAACAGCAUCCAUCAAUCAAGCUCAGCAAGGCUGUUAUCUGGAAGUGCAGUAAGUCUCUCUCCACACUCUCUGCUCCAGCUGCAUCCUUCACUGAGCGAGCUA
ensembl:lncRNA